GCUAGAUUUGUUGAUGCAUUCCUGUAAGAGGCUGGGCCUAGUGGCUCGCUUGAGCUCAUGAGUUCUGAACUGCAGCAGGGAUGAAGCAGCUUAGGUGUCUGCUCUAAAUCUGGUACCACUGUGGUGAGCUCCUGGAAACAGGGGGCCACCAGGCUGCCUGAGGAGGGGUAAACUGGCCCAGCUAGAAAAUGGAGCAGGUCAAAGCUCCUGUGCCAAUGAGUACUGGCUACUGUGCUUCUAGCUUGAGUGAGAUAGGAAGACCCAGUCUCA
rnacentral:sRNA from 1 species